GGCCUCCCCCAGCCUCAGUUUUCAUUGAUUUAUUUUCUAAAUCCUCUUAACAUUUGCUGACCCAGGACCUUGAGAGCUAUGCUGGUUUGUGGUAGAAGACAAUUAAAAAACAGCAAAGACAGAGAGAACCCUGUAUCGUCUACCUGUCUGCGUAAAGGGUGGAGCUCAGUGCUUGUCUGUGGUACCCAAGCCCUGCUGCCCUGGAAGCUUAGAAGAUGCCGUGGCUGGAACUCCCUUUGCCUUUCCUUUCCUUGGAGCAGCUCCCUUCAGAUUUUACAGGAUGCGUACCCCCAUGGAAACGUGAACUGUUUGACUUCUACACCGACGGGUCACAUUCCCGGGUGCAGUCAGGAAGGAGUCCUCAGCCUUCACGUUUCUGAGAUGGGGACCCCGACAGGAGCUGGAGGCCUGAGCGCAGCAGUAGUGCUGUCCACGCCCUCACAGCCUCCAAAGCCUGUCCCCGGAGGCCUCGAAACACCCGGCGGAGGCUGCCGGGAC